rnacentral:rRNA from 1 species
AUCUAUGCCCAUAUUCCACCCCAAACAUGCUCCAUAUCAUUUGAUCUCAGAACCUAAGCAGGGUUGGGUUUGGUGAGUACCUGGAUGGGAAUCUCCCUGGGAAUCCCAGAUAGUACAGGCU